UACGUAGGGUGCAAGCGUUAAUCGGAAUUACUGGGCGUAAAGGGCUCGUAGGCGGCCAACUAAGUCAGACGUGAAAUCCCUCGGCUUAACCGGGGAACUGCGUCUGAUACUGGAUGGCUAGAGGUUGGGAGAGGGAUGCGGAAUUCCUGGUGUAGCGGUGAAAUGCGCAGAUAUCAGGAAGAACACCCGUGGCUAAGGCGGUUCUCUAGUACGGUACUGACGCUGAGACGCGAAAGCGUGGGGAGCAAACAGG
rnacentral:rRNA from 1 species